UACGGAGGGUGCAAGCGUUGCUCGGAAUUAUUGGGCGUAAAGGGCAGGUAGGUGGUCUCAUUUGUCUGGGGUGAAAGCCUUGAGCUUAACUCAAGAAGUGCCCCGGAAACGGUGAGACUGGAGUAUCGGAGAGGUCGGUGGAAUACCCGGUGUAGCGGUGAAAUGCGUAGAGAUCGGGUGGAACACCAGAGGCGAAGGCGGCCGACUGGACGAUGACUGACACUCAACUGCGAAAGCGUGGGGAGCAAACAGG
rnacentral:rRNA from 1 species